UUAAAGAUAUGAAGAUGAACUCAUCCUGUAUUUAGGGUGGGCCCUCAAUUCAGUGACUGGCAUCCUUGUAAGAAGAGAUGAGGACACAGAGACAUGGAGGGAAGAAGAUCAUGUGAAAGACGUAGGCAGAGAUUGGAGAUCUGCUGCCGCAAGACAGGGAAGCAGGAACCACCAGGAGCUGGAAGAGGUGGUCUCAAACCCAGUCAGCGGCUCCUACACUGUGACCUCGCUCAGCUCCACUCCCCAGAACUCCAGGUCUGGCAGGUGUCAACUUGACAGAGCUAAGGGAUGCCCAGAAAGCUAG